UACAGAGACUGCAAGCGUUAUUCGGAUUCACUGGGCGUAAAGGGUGCGCAGGCGGCCGUGUGUGUCAGGUGUGAAAGCCCGGGGCUUAACCCCGGAAUUGCGCCUGAAACUACAUGGCUAGAGCAUUGGAGAGGGUAGCGGAAUUCACGGUGUAGCAGUGAAAUUCGUAGAUAUUCGCAAGACCACCAGUGGCGAAGGCGGCUUGCCAGAACGCGCUCGACGGUGAGGGAUGAAAGCUGGGGGAGCAAACCGG
rnacentral:rRNA from 1 species